UACGUAGGUGGCAAGCGUUGUCCGGAAUUAUUGGGCGUAAAGCGCGCGCAGGUGGUUUCUUAAGUCUGAUGUGAAAGCCCACGGCUUAACCGUGGAGGGUCAUUGGAAACUGGGGAACUUGAGUGCAGAAGAGGAAAGUGGAAUUCCAAGUGUAGCGGUGAAAUGCGUAGAGAUUUGGAGGAACACCAGUGGCGAAGGCGACUUUCUGGUCUGUAACUGACACUGAGGCGCGAAAGCGUGGGGAGCAAACAGG
rnacentral:rRNA from 1 species